rnacentral:rRNA from 1 species
ACACGGCCCAGACUCCUACGGGAGGCAGCAGUGGGGAAUAUUGCACAAUGGGCGAAAGCCUGAUGCAGCGACGCCGCGUGAGGGAUGACGGCCUUCGGGUUGUAAACCUCUUUCAGCAGGGACGAAGCGCAAGUGACGGUACCUGCAGAAGAAGCACCGGCUAACUACGUGCCAGCAGCCGCGGUAAUACGUAGGGUGCAAGCGUUGUCCGGAAUUACUGGGCGUAAAGAGUUCGUAGGCGGUUUGUCGCGUCGUUUGUGAAAACCAGCAGCUCAACUGCUGGCUUGCAGGCGAUACGGGCAGACUUGAGUACUGCAGGGGAGACUGGAAUUCCUGGUGUAGCGGUGAAAUGCGCAGAUAUCAGGAGGAACACCGGUGGCGAAGGCGGGUCUCUGGGCAGUAACUGACGCUGAGGAACGAAAGCGUGGGUAGCGAACAGGAUUAGAUACCCUGGUAGUCCACGCCGUAAACGGUGGGCGCUAGGUGUGGGUUCCUUCCACGGAAUCCGUGCCGUAGCUAACGCAUUAAGCGCCCUU